UCGAGAAUUUUUCUCAAUGGGGGAAACCCUGAAGGAGCGACGCCGCGUGGAGGAUGAAGGUUUUCGGAUUGUAAACUCCUGUCAUUCGGGAACAAUUGCGCGGAUUUAACUGAUUCGUGUUUGAUAGUACCGGAAGAGGAAGAGACGGCUAACUCUGUGCCAGCAGCCGCGGUAAUACAGAGGUCUCAAGCGUUGUUCGGAUUCAUUGGGCGUAAAGGGUGCGUAGGCUGUAAGGUAAGUUGGAUGUGAAAUCCCGGAGCUUAACUCCGGAACUGCAUUCAAUACUGCUUUACUAGAGUACUGGAGAGGAGAUUGGAAUUCACGGUGUAGCAGUGAAAUGCGUAGAUAUCGUGAGGAAGACCAGUGGCGAAGGCGAAUCUCUGGACAGUUACUGACGCUGAGGCACGAAGGCUAGGGGAGCAAACGGG
rnacentral:rRNA from 2 species